GCUGGGUGUGGUGGCGCAUGCCUGUAAUCCCAGCAGCUCAGGAGGCUGAGGCAGGAGAAUCUCAAGUUCAAUGCCAGCCUCAGCAUAAGUGAGGCACUAAGUAACUCAGUGAGACCCUGUCUCUA
rnacentral:sRNA from 1 species